CUUACUGAGAGUUCGAUCCUGGCUCAGGACGAACGCUGGCGGCGUGCCUUAUGCAUGCAAGUCGAGCGGACCAGGGGGCAACUUCUGGUCAGCGGCGAACGGCUGAGUAACCCAUAUGUGACUUACCCUCCAGAGGGGGACAACCCUGGGAAACUGGGGCUAAUACCGCAUGAUGUUCCGGGAUUACGGUCCCGGCACCAAAGCCGCAAGGCGCUGGGGGCGAGGCGUAUGACCUAUCAGCUAGUUGGCGGGGUAACGGCCCACCAAGGCGAUGACGGGUAGCUGGUCUGAGAGGACGACCAGCCAGAUGGGGACUGAGACACGGCCCCAACUCCUACGGGAGGCAGCAGCAGGGAAUAUUGCACAAUGGGCGAAAGCCUGAUGCAGCGACACCGCGUGAAGGAUGAAGGUCUUAGGAUUGUAAACUUCUGUUAAGUGGGAAAAAAGACUCGUUCCAAAUAAGAACGAGGGAUGA
rnacentral:rRNA from 1 species